AUGGAGAAGGGCAGAGUGGGAGAAAGAUAUCUGCUCACCGGCGAAAACUUGUCAUUCAUACAUAUUUUCAAUAUGGCUGCUAAUAUCACAAACACAAAGGCCCCGUACUUCCACGUACCACUCUGGCUGAUUGAAAUAUAUGGCUGGAUUUCAGUUUUCAUUGCUCGAAUCACUGGAAAGCUCCCUCUUAUCAGUUACCCCACGGUUCGUGUUAUUAGACAUCAAUGGGCGUAUUCAUGUGACAAAGCAAAGAGGGAACUGGGCUACAAUCCAAGAAACUUGACUGAAGGUCUAGCUGAGAUGCUUUUAUGGCUGAAGAACGAGAAACUGAUCAAAUUUUAG
rnacentral:rRNA from 1 species